GGGGGAGUCAAUAGGGGCGGGGCCGUCGACGCGGGCGGAGGGCGGGGCCUGCCGUUAGCCCCGCCCCUCGCCCCGCCUGGCCCCGCCCCCUCGGAGGGCUAACACCAGGUGCAGCACGGAGCCACCCUGGAUCUUGUAGUCGGCCGCCGUCUUCUCGUCGUUCAUCUGCUUCCCGCUGUAGAUGAGCCGCUGCUGCUGGGGGGGGAUCCCCUCCUUCUCCUCCACGCGCUCCUUGAUGCGCUCCACCUUGUCGGUGGGUUCGAUGUCGAUCUCGAUCUCUUUCCCGGUCAGCGUCGGGAGGGGAGCGCCGGCGGGGUGCGCUCCGGAGCU
rnacentral:lncRNA from 1 species